rnacentral:rRNA from 1 species
CACCGGGGCGACAGCAAUAUGUAGGUCAAGCUAAAGACUUUACCAGAAUCGCUGAGAGGAGGUGCAUGGCCGUCGUCAGUUCGUACUGUGAAGCAUCCUGUUAAGUCAGGCAACGAGCGAGACCCCGUGCCCACUGUUGCCAGCAUGUCCUUCGGGAUGAUGGGUACUCUGUGGGGACCGCCGAUGCUAAAUCGGAGGAAGGUGCGGGCUACGGUAGGUCAGUAUGCCCCGAAUCUCCCGGGCUACACGCGGGCUACAAUGACUGGGACAAUGGGCUCCUACCCGAAAGGGGAUGGUAAUCGCAUAAACCCAGCCUUAGUUCGGAUCGAGGGCUGUAACCCGCCCUCGUGAAGCUGGAAUCCGUAGUAAUCGCGUUUCAACAUAGCGCGGUGAAUACGUCCCUGCUCCUU